GACCUUGAUUGAUGACAGCUGUGACUUUAUGACAAUUUUCUAUGUCUUAUGUACCGUUAAUAUGUGUCAUGUGUCUGUGGGCCCAAUUUUACUUUGCAAUGUCAACUUUCAUUUUACCAUGAAACAUACAGUGAAGAAAUUGAGGAAAAAAAUGCAAUUUUGAAAUUGGACAAAAAAAGUUGAAAUGGCUAAUAUAAGAAGCCAGGACUCACAGUAAAUGCUGGGCAGUGGUGACUCUUUGGAUCGCGCGAUCAUCAUUAAGCACUUGAAAAAUAAAAGACAAAGGGCCAGAUUUAUCAAAAAUAUGUGAGAAAAUCUGGAGAGAUCCCCCCAAAUCACAGCUCAGCUUCCAUAUCAUAACAAGCUCUGUGUUUAGGUAGGUGGUACAUGUCACAGAGACAUCCACAUGAAUGCUAGGACUCAAGGUUUUCAGACAGAACAUUGCCCAUGGCACCACAGCAUCCUUGCCAGCUUGCCUUUCUCUCACGGUUCAUAUUGGUAGCAUCUCUUACCUCAGGAGGCUGAAAUUCCAUGCUGACACAGCUGACCGGUGGAUAUAGCGUAGGCAAUACUCUGUGGUGUACUGGAUUCCAGGCUCUUACCUACACUGAUACCAGAGGCGGAUCCAAUUUGUAUGAAUUUCAUCAUUGCAACUCUUCAUGUGGCUUCAUGUGGGUAUGGCCCCCAUGUCUCUGUAUGCAUUCCAACAACAUUUGUGCUUGCUCAUGAUUAAAGGAGUACUCCAGUUUACUG